rnacentral:rRNA from 1 species
UACGUAGGCAGCAAGCGUUAAUCGGAAUUACUGGGCGUAAAGCGUGCGCAGGCGGUUUCGUAAGUCUGUCGUGAAAUCCCCGGGCUUAGCCUGGGAAUGGCGAUGGAGACUGCGAGGCUAGAGUUUGGCAGAGGGGGGGUAGAAUUCCACGUGUAGCAGUGAAAUGCGUAGAGAUGUGGAGGAACACCGAUGGCGAAGGCAGCCCCCUGGGUCAAAAACUGACGCUCAUGCACGAAAGCGUGGGGAGCAAACAGG